GUGAUGGUGACAUAUUGAAAGGGGACGAUUGGUGCUCCAACUCCUAAUAGCAUGGCUCUCAAGGCAUUUUUCCUAAUGGCGCAUGUCUCGUGUCAAAGGGGUAGUUGGAGGAGCUAGGAGGUGACUUCCCCAUAAAUGGAGCUUCCUACCGCUUGUAGCCAAGACUAUCCAAUUGUUCUCCAAGAUGCCACCUUUGCGGUUGUCC
rnacentral:lncRNA from 1 species